UGUCUAAGUACAUACCUUCAAACGGUGAAACCGCGAAUGGCUCAUUAAAUCAGCUAUGGUUCCUUGGAUCGUACAUACUACAUGGAUAACUGUAGUAAUUCUAGAGCUAAUACAUGCCACUAUGCCCUGACCCGCAAGGGAACGGGUGGAUUUAUUAGAACAGAACCAACCGGGGGCGGCUUCGGUCGUCCCUGUUGCAUUCUGUGAUGACUCUGGAUAACUUCACUGAUCGCAGUCGGCCUUGUGUCGGCGACGGAUCUUUCAAAUGUCUGCCCUAUCAAUUAUCGAUGGUAGGUGACCUGCCUACCAUGGUGCUAACGGGUAACGGGGAAUCAGGGUUCGAUUCCGGAGAGGGAGCCUGAGAAACGGCUACCACUUCCAAGGAAGGCAGCAGGCACGCAAAUUACCCAAUCCCGGCACGGGGAGGUAGUGACGAAAAAUACGGAUACGGGACUCACUUGAGGCUCCGUAAUUCGAAUGAGUACAAUUUAAAUCCUUUAACGAGGAUCAACUGGAGGGCAAGUCUGGUGCCAGCAGCCGCGGUAACUCCAGCUCCAGAAGCGUAUAUUAAAGUUGUUGCAGUUAAAAAGCUCGUAGUUGGAUCUGGGUUGCAUGGCUACACGCUCGUGUGUUCGUUAUGGCUAUGCCGUGACAGACAUGCGAGUCGGUUUCGUGGUUGUGCUUCCUUUUUGCUGUGUCUGUUUACAGGUGUCAGCGUGGCUGGUGGGUUUACCUACUGGUCUGUUGGCAUGCUUCUUGAUGCCCUUAACCGGGUGUCGGAGGCGGACAGCACGUUUACUUUGAACAAAUUUGAGUGCUCAAAGCAGGCCUUUGUGCCUGAAAAUUCUUGCAUGGAAUAAUGGAAUAGGACUUCGGUUCUAUUUUGUUGGUUUUCGGAUCCGAAGUAAUGGUUAAGAGGGACAGACGGGGGCAUUUGUAUGGCGGUGUUAGAGGUGAAAUUCUUGGAUCGCCGCCAGACAAACUACAGCGAAAGCAUUUGCCAAGGAUGUUUUCAUUGAUCUUGAGCGAAAGUCAGAGGUUCGAAGACGAUCAGAUACCGUCCUAGUUCUGACCAUAAACGAUGCCAACUGACGAUCCGUGGUGGUUCUUUAUGUGUCCCCACGGGCAGUCCCCGGGAAACCCUUAAGUCUUUGGGCUCCGGGGGAAGUAUGGUUGCAAAGCUGAAACUUAAAGGAAUUGACGGAAGGGCACCACCAGGAGUGGAGCCUGCGGCUUAAUUCGACUCAACACGGGAAAACUCACCCGGCCCGGACACUGUGAGGAUUGACAGAUUGAUAGCUCUUUCUUGAUUCGGUGGUUGGUGGUGCAUGGCCGUUCUUAGUUGGUGGAGCGAUUUGUCUGGUUAAUUCCGAUAACGAACGAGACUUUGGCCUGCUAAAAUAGUAUGCCUGUCCUCUGUGCUCGUGCAGGUUGCGUUUUCCAUUGCCUCUUCGUGGGGUAGUGGUGACGUUAGCCGGCGGGUGCGGCGCAGGUAAUUACUUCUUAGAGGGACAAGCGGCGUUCCAGUCGCACGAAAUUGAGCAAUAACAGGUCUGUGAUGCCCUUAGAUGUCCGGGGCCGCACGUGCGCUACAAUGACGGUUUCAGCGAGUUUGGAAUCCUGGCCUGAGAAGGUUGGGUAAACUGAAUCAUAACCGUCGUGACUGGGAUCGGGGCUUGCAAUUGUUCCCCGUGAACGAGGAAUUCCUGGUAAGUGCAAGUCAUAAGCUUGCGCUGAUUACGUCCCUGCCCUUUGUACACACCGCCCGUCGCUACUACCGAUUGAAUGGCUUAGCAAGGUCCUCGGAUUGGUGCCAUUGUAGUGGCUUCGGCCGCUCGACCGGCGCUGAGAAGACGACCAAACUUGGUCAUUUAGAGGAAGUAAAAGUCGUAACAAGGUUUCCGUAGGUGAACCUGCGGAAGGAUCAUUACCCGCAUCUAUUUUUGUGAAUUGGAGAUACACGGUGGCCGUCAUGUCACCCAAUACCUUGCGGACGUCUAUGCCUGGCCCUUGUAGGUCACCGCAUAGAUGGUUGAUGACAGGGUGCCUACCCGUAUGAUACUUCGAUGGUAUGCAUUCGGUCCUCGGACCGUUUGUCCAAGCCAGGAGAACGGGUUGUACUGCCGUAACAGGUAGUGCUAGGCUUAAUGAGGAGAAUUGGGCUACGGCCCUGCUCCCGCCCUGAAAACUGUUUCAUUACUACCAUUACACUGUUAAAGUGGUUGCUUGUGGCUUGCCACUCGUAGCCAUUGACCUCACAUGCACCUGGUCCUUGUGGCUGGACUGCACGUACGUCGCCCGGCGGUGCCUAUCCCGGGUAGGACGUUAACCUGGUCUUUGAUUGUCCGGUUCGCUGGAUGGUCGAGAUCUUACGUACAACUCUGAACGGUGGAUCACUCGGCUCGUGUGUCGAUGAAGAGCGCAGCCAACUGUGUGAAUUAAUGCAAACUGCAUACUGCUUUGAACAUCGACAUCUUGAACGCAUAUUGCGGCCAUGGGUUAGCCUGUGGCCACGCCUGUCCGAGGGUCGGCUUAUAAACUAUCACGACGCCCAAAUAGUCGUGGCUUGGGUUUUGCCAGCUGGCGUGAUUUCCUCUGUGAGCAAUCAUGUGAGGUGCCAGAUCUAUGGCGUUUCCCUAAUGUGUCCGGAUGCACCCUUGUCUGGCUGAUAGCCAUGGUGAGGUGCGGUAACGGAGUCGUGGUUUAAUGUGGCUAUGCCCCGUUUUCAGCGUGUUUGGCGUUCUAGUCGGCAUGCAUAUGACUACGGGUGGAGCUAUGCUGGGUUGGUGCUUGGUUAUCAGUGGGUUUGGCGAUUCUAGUCGGCUCACAUAUGAUCUCCAAGGUAAUUCCAUACCGUGCACGUUUCGUUACUGUUGCUUCAUCGCUGGUUUGAUGUUGGCUUGGUCAAUGUAUCUGAUGCUCUCUAUUGCCAUGCAGACUGCUUCGCGCAGAUUGCUUCCUGACCUCGGUUCAGACGUGAUUACCCGCUGAACUUAAGCAUAUCACUAAGCGGAGGAAAAGAAACUAACCAGGAUUCCCUCAGUAACGGCGAGUGAAGAGGGAAGAGCCCAGCACCGAAGCCUGUGGCCGUUUGGCCCCUAGGCAAUGUGGUGUUCAGGUUGGCUCGCGGGGAUGCUGCUCCACCCUAAGUCCUAUAAUGAGUAAGGUUACUCGGACAUGGCCCAUUGAGGGUGAAAGGCCCGUGGGGGUGGAGAGUCAGACUGGCCAGUAUCUCCCUGAGCAGACCUUGGAGUCGGGUUGUUUGUGAAUGCAGCCCAAAGUGGGUGGUAAACUCCAUCCAAGGCUAAAUACUAGCACGAGUCCGAUAGCGAACAAGUACCGUGAGGGAAAGUUGAAAAGUACUUUGAAGAGAGAGUAAACAGUGCGUGAAGCCGUUCAGAGGUAAACGGGUGGAGUUGAACUGCAAGCUCUGAGGAUUCAACUGGUGAGAUUGGCGUGAGCUUGGUCACGUGGGUUGUAUUUCCGUGUCUGCUUAGCUGCAGGUCCUCGCCUCGGUGGGGAUGCGCGUCUGGCUUAUCAAGCUUUGCGCGCACGGGAGUCUUCGGGCCCGCUUGCCAGUGCACUUUCUCAGAGUGUUCACCACGACCGGCGUUGCCGUCUGGCUGAUGUGGUUAAACCGGCCUUGUAGGGUCCUUGUGGCCUUGCUUGGUCGGGAUGGCAGGUAGCUCGUUGUGUAUUUAUAUGCUUCGGGUGUUAUAGCCGACUGCAUUGGUUCUGUGCGGUACGUCGGAGACGGCGGCUUGCUGUGCGUGCGGGCGUGCCUGUGUGCCGGCGGCUCUGGGUCUGGUUGCCUUGUUGCUUGUGAAUGCAGGCCAGGUGAUGGCUCGGGGUCGUUCGGUAUGCGGUUGCGUUCGUGGCACUUUGACAGGGCCCACAGUCUGUGGUGUAGUGGUAGACUAUCCACCCGACCCGUCUUGAAACACGGACCAAGGAGAGUAACAUGUGCGCGAGUCAUUGGGCGUUACGAAACCCAAAGGCGUAGUGAAAGUAAAGGUUCGGCUUGUCCGGGCUGAGGUGAGAUCCCGUCGUUUCUCACGCAUGGUCUACCAAGCA
rnacentral:rRNA from 1 species